UACAACUUUCAACAACGGAUCUCUUGGCUCUCGCAUCGAUGAAGAACGCAGCGAAAUGCGAUAAGUAAUGUGAAUUGCAGAAUUCAGUGAAUCAUCGAAUCUUUGAACGCACCUUGCGCCCUUUGGUAUUCCGAAGGGCACACCUGUUUGAGUGUCGUGAAAUUCUCAACC
rnacentral:rRNA from 1 species